rnacentral:lncRNA from 1 species
GGAAGGAGAAAAAACAGGGCCUAUGUGUGGUACUAAAAUCUACCAGAAACAUGCAAUACUCAAAAUAAUAGGGAGUUAUUCUGAUGUUCUCACCCCCCAAAUUUGAAAUGGGGCGCAGAAAGAGGGGAGGGAAAGAGAGGGAAACGCUAGCGAAAAUUAUCCACAAUUACAAAUAGCUAGCAAAUUUUAUAUCUAUUGGAGUGUUGUAAGAGAUCUUUGAUUAUUUGUCCCCAAAUAUCCUUCCACUGCUUGGAUCUCUUCCUACAUAUCCGCUGACUUUAAAACAAGCUAUGCAUGACGGAAAAGGCCAGGGUUCUAGCAAUCAGCUUUGCAAAACACAUUGGUGCCAAAGGUUGAUUUCUAGGCUUGGGGUUUCUCACGGAGCCUGGCGACGUGAUGAGCUUUGCCAACCUAGCUAGAGAGAUCUGUGAGCCUGGGUUGUCUUGUUCAUUUCCCUUCCCACUCUUUUCUCCUCCUCAGGCCCAUUUUCCCUGGUGGUUCCUCAAUGCGCUUGCCUUCCUUCCUCCUCCCCUCUCCCUUCUUCCCCUUUCACUAACCCACCCCUUCUCCCUCCCUCCUUUCCUCUCCCCUUCACUCCUCCACCUACUCCUCCCCAUCCCCCAGCCCCCCUUCUCACCACCGCUUAUAAUGGCUCCCGGGGCUCCCUCAGAGGUGGACGGCCCGUGUGUGUUCCUAACACAGAAAUACAAACAGCACAGUCUGUAUGUUAAUGAUUUAAUGCUGUCUCCACCAGAGGCAUCACUGCCGAAGAAAGAUUGUCCACCCAACAUCUUUGGUAGUCAUCCUGGGAGGCAAAACUUUGGAGAUGAAAAGAAUAUAAGAUGCCAUUCAAAUCAGCAGCUCUGGAGAAAGAGGACUGAAUCAGUUCAUUCUGGGAACUAAGCUGAAUGGAGUCCAGAUCACCCUCCGUUUCCCAGCGUUGUGUCUUGUCUGUCUCUGUGGAUACUUAAUGUCCUUCACUAAUGUAUUUGGCUAGUCUGUUCUUGCUAGCACACCUGUAGACUAAUUUCUACAAAUUCAGAUCUUACAAAAAGCUGAGUCUUUAACUUCAUGCAAUGGCAGAGUUGUGACAUCUUAGACUCAUUUUCUCCCAAAUGGCUUUCUGCUGCCCUCAACUGGUAGUGAGUCAUCAAUGCAGUAAAUCUCUGCAUUCAUGCUAACCCCCAGCAUUGUUUGACUCUAAAGGAGAUGUAGAAAAAUUAUUAACCACAUUACAGAUGAUUUUUAUUACAGAGAAAAAAAUGGAACUCAGAGGUUUUUAAGGUGUCCACCUAUUAUUCUCUAUUUCCUCAUUUUCUACCCAGUUGCAUGUGAUACAUGAAGAAAAGUAUUUGGCCUUUUCUUCUUUCAAGUAUGUGUGUGUGCCAGAGUAUUUGGAAGGGCUGCUUAAUUAUCAAAUCAAGAUGCAUUUCAGCUGGUGUAAUACCUAGGAGAUAUUUCUGUAAUUAGUCAUAAGUGAUGUUAAGUAUUUUAUCUCUAAUGUUAUAAAGAGACAGAGAAUUAUAUAAGGACCAUAAAUAGUGUGUAAGUGUUCUCUUUGUUUUGACAAAUUUAUAUUGGGCAUAUGCUGUAUGUCAGACAGCA